rnacentral:rRNA from 1 species
UACAGAGGUGGCAAGCGUUGUUCGGAAUUACUGGGCGUAAGGGCGCGUAGGCGGUUCGUUAAGUCCUGUGUGAAAUCCCCCGGCUCAACUGGGGAACUGCACAGGAAACUAGCGGGCUUGAGUUCGGGAGAGGGAAGCGGAAUUCCGGGUGUAGCGGUGAAAUGCGUAGAUAUCCGGAGGAACACCGGUGGCGAAGGCGGCUUCCUGGACCGACACUGACGCUGAGGCGCGAAAGCUAGGGGAGCAAACGGG